rnacentral:sRNA from 1 species
ACCCCCGGCGCUUGUCGCUCGGGCUUCCAGACCGUCUUCUUUCUAGUGGACGGCCCUCUUCGGGCGGAGCCCAUCGGCCCCCGAAGGCUGAAAACGAUGCGAGGGCGCGCCGAAACAUGGGCGCGCCCUAUGU